rnacentral:lncRNA from 1 species
ACAACACGAACAUUACCCCCCGUAAAAACGGGUCCAGGACCUGCCAGAAAAACACUCCAAAUACUUACAAUUAAAACAACGGGAGUCGGGUCCCCAAACUUCACUAUUUCCCGACUCCGCCACACAGCACAAAACACAAGGCAGGCAACUGACAGACAAUUAUUUUUGACCCACAAAUACCAUCAAAUACACAAUAUAAACCAAAAGACACAAUUAAACUAAGAAUUUCUAAAAAAUGACGGGCUAAAGAAAAUUACCAAGACGCUCGGUCGCUCGGUCGACUCGCCUCCAGCCGCCGGAGUCCGAUCGACGAUCCGAACACACCAUCGGACUCACAACGACGCGCUGAUGACGAUCCCCGCUUUCGAUUUUCCGAUCUGACACCCGACCAUCCGGAGAAAUUUGCGGACGAUCUCGACCGUCGAUUCACAAACGAAGCCCGAUCGCCACGAAACCGGUGCCAUCGCGAAGCUUGAGCUGAGGAGAGUCGGGAUACAUCCUCCGAUCGUCCCUCCUCCGCCGGAUCUCGCCGGAAAAGCUGAAAAACGCCGGCUGCCACCAUUUUCUCUCUCCACCGGAUCUUCCGUUUUCGGCCACCACUGGCGUCGCCGCUGCUACCAAAAGAAAGCUCUCGUCGAGAGGAGCCGAUCGCCACCCAACUCGGCCGCCAACAACGCCGGAAACACGCCUGGAAGCUGCUGCCACACGCGCGAUUCCCGCCGCCGCUGGAGCUGCUGCUGCCAUCGCCGCUGCGCUCGCCAGCGCACGCCGCUCCGUCGGCCAACGCUCCACGCCUUCGACGGUCGCCGCCGACGCCUGCAACUUCCCCUUCUCUCUCUUCCCGACGCCGCACUCUCUCUCUCUCUCCUCCUUUCUUCU